AUUGAACGCUGGCGGCAGGCCUAACACAUGCAAGUCGAACGAGUGGCGGACGGGUGAGUAAUGUCUGGGAAACUGCCUGAUGGAGGGGGAUAACUACUGGAAACGGUAGCUAAUACCGCAUACCAUCAGAUGCGCCCAGGUGGGAUUAGCUAGUGGGUGGGGUAACGUCGCACCAAGGAGACGAUCCCUGUCGGGUCUGAGCGGAUGACCGGCCACACUGGAACUGAGACACGGUCCAGACUCUUACGGGAGGCAGCAGUGGGGAAUAUUGCCCAAUGGGCUCAAGCCUGAUGCAGCCAUGCCGCGUGUAUGAAGAAGGCCUUCGGGUUGUAAAGUACUUUCAGCGGGGAGGCGUUACCCGCAGAAGAAGCACCGGCUAACUCCGUGCCAGCAGCCGCGGUAAUUC
rnacentral:rRNA from 1 species